rnacentral:rRNA from 1 species
CUUGUACACACCGCCCGUCACACCAUGGGAGCGGGUUCUGCCAGAAGUGGGUAGCCUAACCGCAAGGGGGGCGCUCACCACGGCAGGGUUCGUGACUGGGGUG